AGUCGUCAGGCAUUAACACAAGCUUUCUGUUGCAGCAAAGCCGCUUAUAAAAUUUGCAAGUGUUGUUUUCCUAAUAUACACUGGUAAAACAAUGUCUGAAGUGUGUCCGUGUUGCGAUAGUGUUGUUUACUCCGCGGAAAAGGCCGCAAUGUUUGGAAAGAAGGGUGAUGUGUACCACAAAAAGUGCCUGAAAUGCUGCGAAUGCAAGAAAGCGCUAGACAGCAUGAACUUCCACGAACACGACGGUGUACUGUACUGUAAACGACACUACUGCCGGGAAU